GACAGAGGGUGCAAACGUUGUUCGGAAUUACUGGGCGUAAAGCGAGUGUAGGCGGUUUGGUAAGUCGGAUGUGAAAGCCCCGGGCUCAACCCGGGAAGUGCACUCGAUACUGCCAAGCUAGAGUAUCGGAGAGGUUGGUGGAAUUCUCGGUGUAGAGGUGAAAUUCGUAGAUAUCGGGAGGAACACCGGUGGCGAAGGCGGCGACCUGGGUCGAUACUGACGCUGAGGUGCGAAAGCGUGGGGAGCAAACAGG
rnacentral:rRNA from 1 species